rnacentral:lncRNA from 1 species
UGGACUGCUGGUAGGGCUGCUUGUACACGGGCUCCUGGGCGCAGCCUGCGAUGUUGUGCUGUUUUGUUGAGCUGAUGUGCACGAGUAGCGAGGCGGCGUUUGAAGGCAGGCCACCACUCGAUCAGGCCAGCAGGAUUGUCCUCCACAGAUGGGGCCGCGGCACACUGGUCGGUAAUCCAGGCCUCCAGGCUCGUGGCCAGGUCUUCAUGCGCCGUGAAGGCCAUGCGCACCCGGCGAAUGCCCGGGCCCCGCUGUUCAACCCGGCGAGGCAGCAGGUGUAGGACCAUCGGCUGGUGAUCUGACGGGGUGUGCUGGAUAAUCUCCGUGCGAGCAACAUACGGCAUCACGGCUUGAUUCACAUAAAUGCGAUCCAGUCGGGAGCCUAGCGGUAUUGGUCAGGGCUCUAGUCGCAGUAUGGUUAUAGCGGCUAAGUUAUGCCCAUUUUUAUGUAUGUAUGUAUGUAUGUAUGUAUGUAUGUAUGUAUGUAUGUAUGUAUGUAUGUAUGUAUGUAUGUAUGUAUGUAUGUAUGUAUGUAUGUAUGUAUGUAUGUAUGUAUGUAUGUAUGUAUGUAUGUAUGUAUGUAUGUAUGUAUGUAUGUAUGUAUGUAUGUAUGUAUGUAUGUAUGUAUGUAUGUAUGACGUUGAUUACACUGUGGGCUGAAAAGCCGGGGGCCCAGGGCCGAAGCACAGCGCGGGGGGCGGGUGCAUACGGCUGGUUAGUCUCAUGCACUCCGCCCCCGGGUCAGGCCGCACGGGAAACGACGGCCGGCACGCAACAGCGCUUGUUUGGCGCUCCAACUAGACGGGAUCUAUGCCCGUUGGUCUCCUAACAUAAACGAAGUCGCAACUGGGGGGCUCUUCCUGCCGACCGAACGAACCGAGCAUCUCAGAGAGCUCGCUACCAGGACUUGGGCGACCGGGAGCCCGACGAGUCUUCCCGGGCUGGGGAGUCACCAAGCUCAAAAAUNNNNNNNNNNNNNNNNNNNNNNNNNNNNNNNNNNNNNNNNNNNNNNNNNNGAAGUCCAGGAAUGCCAGGAGCCCCCGGCGGUUCUGCUUGCGAAGGAGGUGUGACAGGUGACGCAGGAAUAGCACACUGGCUCCAAUGAGGCGCCUGGGUAGGAAGGCUGAUUGCUCGGGGGUUAUGACUUGGCCAAGGGCAGGGCCUAGGCGGUUUGCCAGCACUUUGGUGAGCAGUCGGUAGUCCGAGCAAAGCAGGGUGAUAGGACGGUAGUUGCCAGGGAGUUUGGGGUCGCCUUUUUUGUAGAUCACCGUCAGUACCCCCUCCAAGAAGCCCUUCGGCACCUGCCCCGUCAAGCCUAUGGCGGUGAGCAGGCCAGCCAUGGUGGUGCCAAUGGCCGACCAGAAUUUCCUGUAGAUGUCGGCUGGGAUGCCGUCCCACCCCGGGGCCUUGCCAGGCUGGCUUUUCUUAAGAGCCUUUCGUAACUCGGUGGCCGUGAUGGUUCUGGAUCCCAGCUGUUCAUCUGCCUCUGCGGGUAGCGAGAUGUUGGCAGCCGCCAGGGAGUUUAGCACCUCCUGCUGGGCUUGGGGGCAGAUGUAGUUGGGAGCUCGGCUCAGUUCACUCCAGAAGUCUGCGACCACCUGGGGAAGCUGGCUAGGAUUAGUCACUAGGCGGCCGGACUGGGCUUGCAGGGCGACGGGAGCUGGUUGUUGGUCCGCGCUUUGGGCCUGGAUGAACGCAGUCAUGGCUGGGCUCGGCCGCUCCCCUGUCUGUAGCCAGUGUAUGCGGGCCUCCAUCGCCUCCUUGCUGCAGUCUUCUCGGUGGGCCCGUGCUAGUGCCGCCUGUGCGUCCACCAGUUGCUGUAAGGGCUGCUGUGCUCCGGGAUCUGUGUCGACCCUUUGUCGGGCCUGCUGGACUGCUGGUAGGGCUGCUUGUACACGGGCUCCUGGGCGCAGCCUGCGAUGUUGUGCUGUUUUGUUGAGCUGAUGUGCACGAGUAGCGAGGCGGCGUUUGAAGGCAGGCCACCACUCUAUCAGGCCAGCAGGAUUGUCCUCCACAGAUGGGGCCGCGGCACACUGGUCGGUAAUCCAGGCCUCCAGGCUCGUGGCCAGGUCUUCAUGCGCCGUGAAGGCCAUGCGCACCCGGCGAAUGCCCGGGCCCCUCUGUUCAACCCGGCGAGGCAGCAGGUGUAGGACCAUCGGCUGGUGAUCUGACGGGGUGUGCUGGAUAAUCUCCGUGCGAGCAACAUACGGCAUCACGGCUUGAUUCACAUAAAUGCGAUCCAGUCGGGAGCCUAGCGGUAUUGGUAAGGGCUCUAGUCGCAGUAUGGUUAUAGCGGCUAAGUUAUGCCCAUUUUUAUGUAUGUAUNNNNNNNNNNNNNNNNNNNNNNNNNNNNNNNNNNNNNNNNNNNNNNNNNNGCCGGCUGUAAUUUGAUCCCCACGUCUUGGCUCCGGAGCCAGCAUUGUAGGGCCUGAGCAACGAAGAGGUAGAGCAAGGGUGCGAGGGGGCACCCUUGCCGUACCCCUGCUUCCAUGUUCACCAGCUUCGAUUUGUAGCCAUUCACCAUCGCUCGGGCUCGCGUUUCGCUCAGCAGCAGUCGUACCCAGGCGCAGAGCUGUGGCCCUGCACCCAUGGUCUCCAUUGCUGCCAGGAGGAACCCACGAUCCACCGUGUCAUAGGCCUUGGCGAAGUCCAGGAAUGCCAGGAGCCCCCGGCGGUUCUGCUUGCGAAGGAGGUGUGACAGGUGACACAGGAAUAGCACACUGGCUCCAAUGAGGCGCCUGGGUAGGAAGGCUGAUUGCUCGGGGGUUAUGACUUGGCCAAGGGCAGGGCCUAGGCGGUUUGCCAGCACUUUGGUGAGCAGUCGGUAGUCCGAGCAAAGCAGGGUGAUAGGACGGUAGUUGCCAGGGAGUUUGGGGUCGCCUUUUUUGUAGAUCACCGUCAGUACCCCCUCCAAGAAGCCCUUCGGCACCUGCCCCGUCAAGCCUAUGGCGGUGAGCAGGCCAGCCAUGGUGGUGCCAAUGGCCGACCAGAAUUUCCUGUAGAUGUCGGCUGGGAUGCCGUCCCACCCCGGGGCCUUGCCAGGCUGGCUUUUCUUAAGAGCCUUUCGUAACUCGGUGGCCGUGAUGGUUCUGGAUCCCAGCUGUUCAUCUGCCUCUGCGGGUAGCGAGAUGUUGGCAGCCGCCAGGGAGUUUAGCACCUCCUGCUGGGCUUGGGGGCAGAUGUAGUUGGGAGCUCGGCUCAGUUCACUCCAGAAGUCUGCGACCACCUGGGGAAGCUGGCUAGGAUUAGUCACUAGGCGGCCGGACUGGGCUUGCAGGGCGACGGGAGCUGGUUGUUGGUCCGCGCUUUGGGCCUGGAUGAACGCAGUCAUGGCUGGGCUCGGCCGCUCCCCUGUCCGUAGCCAGUGUAUGCGGGCCUCCAUCGCCUCCUUGCUGCAGUCUUCUCGGUGGGCCCGUGCUAGUGCCGCCUGUGCGUCCACCAGUUGCUGUAAGGGCUGCUGUGCUCCGGGAUCUGUGUCGACCCUUUGUCGGGCCUGCUGGACUGCUGGUAGGGCUGCUUGUACACGGGCUCCUGGGCGCAGCCUGCGAUGUUGUGCUGUUUUGUUGAGCUGAUGUGCACGAGUAGCGAGGCGGCGUUUGAAGGCAGGCCACCACUCGAUCAGGCCAGCAGGAUUGUCCUCCACAGAUGGGGCCGCGGCACACUGGUCGGUAAUCCAGGCCUCCAGGCUCGUGGCCAGGUCUUCAUGCGCCGUGAAGGCCAUGCGCACCCGGCGAAUGCCCGGGCCCCGCUGUUCAACCCGGCGAGGCAGCAGGUGUAGGACCAUCGGCUGGUGAUCUGACGGGGUGUGCUGGAUAAUCUCCGUGCGAGCAACAUACGGCAUCACGGCUUGAUUCACAUAAAUGCGAUCCAGUCGGGAGCCUAG